UACAGAGGUGGCAAGCGUUGUUCGGAAUUACUGGGCGUAAAGGGCGCGUAGGCGGUCGAUUAAGUCCCGUGUGAAAUCCCUCGGCUCAACUGAGGAACUGCACGGGAAACUGGCUGACUUGAGUUCGGGAGAGGGAAGCGGAAUUCCGGGUGUAGCGGUGAAAUGCGUAGAUAUCCGGAGGAACACCGGUGGCGAAGGCGGCUUCCUGGACCGAUACUGACACUGAGGCGCGAAAGCUAGGGGAGCAAACGGG
rnacentral:rRNA from 1 species